AUUGUAGAGCAUAAUAUUGAAGAUAUUAAGGUAACUUUUGUUUUUAAAUA
rnacentral:tRNA from 1 species